rnacentral:rRNA from 1 species
UACGGAGGGCGCAAGCGUUGUUCGGAAUUACUGGGCGUAAAGCGCGUGCAGGUGGCUGAGUAAGUCGAAUGUGAAAGCCCCGGGCUCAACCCGGGAACUGCAUCCGAAACUGCUUGGCUAGAGUCCCGGAGAGGAAGGCAGAAUUCCCAAUGUAGGGGUGAAAUCCGUAGAUAUUGGGAGGAAUACCGGUGGCGAAGGCGGCCUUCUGGACGGUGACUGACACUCAGACGCGAAAGCGUGGGGAGCAAACAGG